GUAGGUGAACCUGCGGAAGGAUCAUUAACACAAUACUUUCAUAUCAACCUUGGAGCACUGGAUGAACCUUUGAUUGCAAGCGCUGGAUUGGCAAUGGUUGGAUUUUAUUUAUAAAAUUCGGCUCUUCCAGCUAUAAUAUCCUCCGAGAUAUGGGCUUGACUUUCUUAGGUAUUACAGCCUCAACCAUGGCUGGCCUUUUUUUUUAAAAACUACUUGAAAUUUGUACUGAUUUGGGCUUCGGAUCGAGAGG
rnacentral:misc_RNA from 1 species